rnacentral:rRNA from 1 species
AUACGUAGGUGGCAAGCGUUGUCCGGAAUUAUUGGGCGUAAAGAGCAUGUAGGCGGGAAUCUAAGUCUGUUGUGAAAAUGCGGGGCUCAACCCCCGUAUGGCGAUGGAAACUGGAUUUCUUGAGUGCAGGAGAGGAAAGGGGAAUUCCCAGUGUAGCGGUGAAAUGCGUAGAUAUUGGGAGGAACACCAGUGGCGAAGGCGCCUUUCUGGACUGUGUCUGACGCUGAGAUGCGAAAGCCGAGGGUAGC